rnacentral:misc_RNA from 2 species
AACGCACAUUGCGCCCUUUGGUAUUCCGAAGGGCAUGCCUGUUCGAGCGUCAUUAUCACCCCUCAAGCCUGGCUUGCUGUUGGACUCUUGGUUAAGCCUAGGCUUCAACCAGUCCCAAAGAUAAUGACGGCGUCUGUGAGGACCCCAGUACACUGAGCUUUCUAAGCACGUAUUAGGCGGAAGUCCAGGCCCGGUCUUACCCAUUUUAUUUACAAGGUUGACCUCGGAUCAGGUAGGGAUACCCGCUGAACUUAA